CUUGAUUUAGAGGAAGUAAAAGUCGUAACAAGGUUUCCGUAGGUGAACCUGCGGAAGGAUCAUUCGCAAUAAAUGGUUUUUUUUAUAAUUCAUAAAAAAAAAAAAAUCCUUUACCACCUUGUGUGCAAUGUAUGAGAAAAGGGGCCAUUUGGCUUCUUUUUUUUCUAUAUCAUCAACUCUUUGCUUUGAAACCAGUUUGUCUGAAAUAAACAUAUUCUUUGAAUAACUUAAUUCAAAAAUACAACUUUCAACAACGGAUCUCUUGGCUCUC
rnacentral:misc_RNA from 1 species